rnacentral:lncRNA from 1 species
UUGCAUGUGGGUAUAGGUCGAACAAUUAGAUCUAAUGAUCAAACUACAAUUAGGGUCUAAUUGAUUAGAUCAGGCGAGAACCUGUCGUUGAUUUUGAGCAGUUGAUUGAACCUAAUCGAUGAUUGAUUAGGAUUAGGUCAAAGGGAAUCCAAAUUGAGUUUAGCUAUAGUUGGUUACAUUGAUUCAUAUUUUGAUGUGAGUUAAUUGACUCAAGACUAAAUUUAGCUCAGUGGUUCGGGCCCAUUUCAAUAGGUUAACC